UACGGGGGGGGCAAGCGUUGUUCGGAAUUACUGGGCGUAAAGGGCUCGUAGGCGGCCAACUAAGUCCGACGUGAAAUCCCCAGGCUUAACCUGAGAACUGCGUCGGAUACUGGAUGGCUUGAAUCCGGGAGAGGGAUGCGGAAUUCCUGGUGUAGCGGUGAAAUGCGCAGAUAUCAGGAAGAACACCCGUGGCGAAGGCGGCUCUCUGGGACGGUACUGACGCUGAGACGCGAAAGCGUGGGGAGCGAACAGG
rnacentral:rRNA from 1 species